UGACGCCCUUGUUAUGAACGGAACGUGUUCAAGGUUGAGUUAAGAGUGAUGCGUGUUACGAGACCACAUACGCAGUUUGAAAUAUCUCGUGUAUGAGGGACCGGGUGUGGCAUCGCCAUAUUUUGGUGCAUGGUACACUCUCACAGUCACAUACCUAAGGUUCCUGUGGCAGGUCCUCCCAGAAAGAGUUGAUAUUUCCCUGUUUCAUCGGAGAUAGAGAAUCGAUCGUACGUUUCAUACAGCGUC